CAGAGCUCCUAUAGUCACCCUUAGGGUUAGAUGGUGACGUCAGAAAAGUUACAUAAUUGUUACUACUAUAACAAAUUAAGAGUCAAAAACCGGCGAUUUCUGGAGAGCAGAAAUUACUUGCCCUGAUUAUCGUGUCAACGAAGUAUAUACACGUUUUGAAGUUGCAACAUGUGUCAUUUAGAUGCUUGUUUUAAUGUUACGAAUAUAAAUUAGUCAUGAGAUAAAAUGUCCUUAUCGGCAACCGAUGGUCAGUGUUCCCUGCUUCCCAAACGUCUCAGCUCCGGACUAGUGGACAAGUGUGUGGUCUAUUCUCUAGCAUUACUCGUAAACCUUAAAAUGAGUGUCAUGUGCAAGUACCUGUCGCGCUAUCAUAGUUGUGACUUGAUAUGGUCCAGGGUGGACCGAAACGCCGUCUAAAGCUUCCUCUCCAAAGCGGUCAAGCCAAAUUGCUUCAUGGAGAGAGGAACUUUCCACCACCCGCGCAGGCGCAGUGCGACGCGGAAGGUACAACCGGCCAGUGGACACUGAACAUGAAGAGACUUUAUUGUAGUUAGGGCAGGUAAAGGCGUCUGUGGGAGGAGGGUGAGGAUUAAGUUUAUUUAGGUACAGGUAUACAUAAAUACAGUUACACAAAUUAUCAUACAUGUGUAAAUUACCUUAGACCAAAAAAGUCACACAGUGACAUUUCAUUGGGGUUCCUUAGCAGUAAUAUCUUUAUUUCUAAAAGUACAUGUACAAGGUAUACAGGCCUAACUGACAUCAAUGACUUACUACUACAUAGAAAGCCGCUUGUAAUGCAGAGCAUUUCAGGCAAAUUAGGUAAAUUUUAUCCCAGGGUGCGACCCACACCAGUCAACUAACACCCAGGUACCCACUUCACUGAUGAGUGAACAUGGACAACCGGUGUAAGGAAACACGCCGGGAAUCGAACCCGGACGCUCACCGUAUGAAGCGAGAGCUUUUGCCACCAUGCCACGGGCCUGGUGUGGGAAUUUAGAGGUAGAUAGCAAGGUAGUGAUAAGAGAAUCUCCAGUUACCGAAGGUGGAUGUUACAAGAAUCAGGACCUCGUGAGGUGGGGCCGAACAAUGAGCAGCCGAGGGUCUUCGGGAGCCGGGACCCUGUGAGACAGAGGCAACCACGGAGUGGGUCCGUGUACAUUGCGUCAUGGCCAGGUUUUUGUGGACCAGGCGGACUAUCCUCGGGGCUAAUUAAAUUUUGACACCGCUCUUCCUCUCACACCCAGGAGACAGCCACUCGUAUUAUCAGAAUCAGCAGCGGUAAAUAUAUAAAGGACCCCAAUGAAAAUAAUCAAAGGACCCCAAUGGAAAUAAGUCACUCUCUGACUUUUUUGGGUUAUCCUAGGUUCUCUACACAUAUGCUGCUAUGUAUGAUAAUUCUAUGUAACUGUAUUUGUGUAUACGUGAAUAAACUUACUUAUAAAUAAACCUAUCAACAGCACCAAAUUCAGUAGCACGAACAGCACCAGAUUCAGUAGCAAGAGCAGCACCAGAUUCAGUAGCACGAACAGCACCAGAUUCAG